rnacentral:misc_RNA from 1 species
GCCGGGCCCCUUCAUCUCCUCCGAUUCCAGAGUCAUCGUACUUCUCGACGCCAUCAGUUUUCCGAUCCUCUUCGACACCACCAAGGUCGAAAAACGCAACAUUCUCGAUGGAACUUACAUGCCCUCCUUGUCCUUCACCGGCGGCAUUCGCACCUGCGCUUAUUUGGACCCAUCGGAAACAGAGCACUCUGUUCUCAAACGCCUCUUCCUCUCGUUUCUCG